UAUGAUGAAGAAAGAAUGGGAAGAAUUUUUGGUUUUCCUCAAUGUGAAAAGAUAUUGAUGGUGCAUGGUCAUCAUGAGUAGUUCUCUUAAAAGUGUUUUGAUAAUAUUGGUAGCAAGGCAGCAUGCUGACGGUACUGUACUGUUCAGCUUUGUUAUCUAGACAUAUAUUCUUCUGAACUAAAUAGUAUUCUUAAAUCUCUCAAGAACCAAAAGUGUUGACACCUGUGCAGACACUAGGAUAGAGAAGGCUGCACUGUGAAGAUGUAAAGAACGGCACUUCAAUUUCAGAGAUUCUGUUCAGUAGCACGUCAACAGACUGAGUGUUGUAUUGGUAUCAAAGUAUUUAAUUUGAUACAUGGCCUCAUCUUGGAAGUUGCUGAUGGAAGCUUAUCAUGUACAUUCAGAUGAUAGGACCUGUUGAAAAUUACACUAUCGGUUUUUUGGCAUCUCAAUACUUAAAAAUAUUCCCCUAUGUAGGCAAGUAAGACUCUUUUACCAAGUACAGCUAACAAUCAAAGAGGCUCAAUAUCACAGCACACUUAGAAACCAGAAUUUGGUAGAGAAAUGACUAAAAAGAAUGUUGUAGUCUCCAUGAUUUUUGUUACUGUUGUUAUGAGCAGCUGAAAAAUGGAAGCUCUUCUGAUAAAACACUAGUUACAAAAUUAAUUUUCUUCAUGUUGUGUCCCAUCUGCAGUUAAAAUGCAGACUAAUCUACCUGGAGGUUCUCAGUGAUUAUGAUCAUGUCAAAGAGACUUGCUUUAUUUUGAGGCAAACUCCAGAGGAAAUAAAGGCUUGUUACAGGCAUGUGUUGGCAAUGUCUUUUGUUGCAAGUGGACAACAGUGUAAAGCAGUUAUCUCAUUUGUAAGUUUUCAGUAGUGAAUUGAUUUUGCCUCCUUUCACUUUCUUCACUAUGACACAAUGUGCACAUGUACCAUAUAGGGAUGAAAGGAUUCUUUUUCUUUCCAAUUCUUUCAUUUCAAGAGGUUUCAGGAACAUACCGCCUAAAUUUUCAGAGCCUUUAAAAUGAGGAUAAAGAUCUUUUGUGCUUGUACUUGGUGGUUACCUGAAAGAGUCACAAAAAAUGUAUGGAUUACUUAAAACUGCGAUAUUUAACAUCAUACAUGGUUUGGAGAAGGUGCAAGAGCUAAAGAGCAACUAGGAUAACCCUUCUAGUUGUGACAAUGAUUUACUAAUCAGAAUUUAGAAGUUCAGAAAUGCCCUAUUUCUUAUUUUUAAAUUAUCUCAGUAGAAGUGAAUCUAUCAAAAGCAGAAGUAGUAAAAAGCAGAAGUAGUAAAAUUUUAAACUAUGAGUUGUCAUGUUUCUCCAGGUAUUAACAAAUAAUUCUUUUGUUAUGUGAUCUAAAAGUAUCUGUAACACAAAUUGCAAAUAUCUUGCAACUAAUGGACCACAGCUUUCCUGAUAGUCUUGUUAUUCUUUUUGCAAGGCCUUGUUAUGAUGUCUUCCUUUCUGCUUUUUUUUCCGAAACACCCGCAGUUAAAGUAGUAUGGAUUGAUAAUAAACAUUCUUCUAACGUUUAUGUAGUAAGAGUUUUCAGUUACUGCAGUCCCAGAUAUUUCCAUAUUUAUAUACAUGCACCACAUAUAGAUGAUGUGUGUGUGUGUGUGUAUAUAUAUAUAUA